UGGAACAUUUUUUCUGGACAUGCAUGAACACGUGCACUGUUCAUCUUCAUGAAGAUGAAGAUCUUGAGUUUCCAGGUUUUGCUACCAUUCUGCUUGGAAUUUGCUACGAAAUUCAAAUUAGCUACGGUUUUGAGCGCGCUAGGGUUUUAGGAUUGGAACGGUGUCGUUUUGAUGUUAAGCGCCAAAUUUGAAUGUGAACGUGGUUCGAGUCCUCCUGAGUGCAAAAUAUUCAAAUGCCUUGUUAUUUUC
rnacentral:lncRNA from 1 species